rnacentral:lncRNA from 1 species
UUAUCCAACAAAGUAAAAUGUUAUAAACCAUGUAAUACACAACUCUCUAACCUAAUAAAAAAUAAAGUGAGAUGUUACAAUAAGUAAAUAGUAGCUCAAAGUUCUUUUUGUAAGAAAACAUAUUUUGAUGACUAAAUAUUUUAAUGGGUUACAUUAUUCGUGUAAGACAUGUGUUCAUUCAAAUCGUGCAAUACACGAGUUUUUAAAAGAUGUAACUAUUUUAUUGCUUAGUAUAUAGAAUUAUAUUUAUUCAACCCGUGUAAUACACGGGGUUCUAACCUAGUUAAAUAGAAUAUAUUAUUUAGAGUUUAUUGUAAUUAUCUCUAAAGGGGAUGUAUCAUGAAAAAACUAUUUUCUCAUGAUAAUAUUUUCUAUACAAUAUUCCUCACCAAGCCAUGGUUUUAUAAAGAAUCGAGAGGAAUCAAGUAAAGACUUACAAUUAGUAAGGCCUUAAUAUGAAUGAUGUUAAAUGAUUUUGGAUCAUUUUUCUGGUCUUUGAGCUCUAACAAGAUCUCAAGAAAGUCCUUCCUUCCAUCUCCUUCAUAAGUUUCAUCGACUUUGCUAGAUUUGAGUUUGAUUUUCCUGUCAAUAAUAUAGUUAAAAAUCCGUUCAACUUGUUCCAAUUGCCUCUGCAUUUCUUUGUGCAUACCCUGCAGAUCAAACCGUGACAAAAGUGGGAUAAAAUCAGAGAUGUUUGGCUUUCCCGUUAACUCGAUAAUCUUGGACUCAACUUCUUGAAACCCUUCCAACAUUUCACCAAAAUCACCCCCUUCAUUAGAUUUGCUACAACCCCAUAACAUGUUGGUUACAACAUUUAGUUCCGUAUCAAAAGCAGUUUUGUUAAUAUCAAUCUUUGUACCGAUUUUGUUGUAAACUUCAUUCACUGCCUUUCUUACUUCAUGUGUUCUCAGACUUUGAGACGCGUUUAAAUUCGCGUUGCUGAGCACUUGGCUGGCUAAAAGCUUACGCACGUUACGCCAGUGUUUGUUGUUGUUGGACCAUACAAGGUCCAUACCACCAUACGUUAUGGUUAGUCCUGUGAUUGGAGGAUUACGAUUAGCAAAUGUGUUGUCAUGCUCACGAGCCACAACCUUUGCUAGGUCCAUGGAGUUAACCACAACAUGAAGCUUACUUCCAAGCUGCAGGCUGAAGAUAGGGCCAUAUUUGUGAGCAAUCUCGGUGAAUUUUUCAUGCAAGUUGGAGCUGAGAAAGGGGAGGUAGCCUAUAACCGGUAAGCCGUAGGGUCCUGGAGGCAAGUGAGCCUUCCUGGAAUAAGAUAACCUCCAUACAUAUAUGAGUGACGAUGGAACUAGAAGUGUUAGUACAGUCCGAGCAAACUUGUCUUGUUGGUUGGGGACUUCCACCACCAUGACCAGAUUGUGAGAAUAAUCUUAGUUCCAACUUUUGAUAUCAUUUUUGUGGCAAAUGAUAUUUAACUUCUUGAGAUUUUUUUUAUGUGGCAGCAAUGAUUGAUU